rnacentral:rRNA from 1 species
CCUACGGGUGGCAGCAGUGGGGAAUAUUGGACAAUGGGGGAAACCCUGAUGCAGCGACGCCGCGUGAGUGAAGAAGGAUUUCGGUAUGUAAAGCUCUAUCAGCAGGGAAGAAGAAAGACGGUACCUGACUAAGAAGCCCCGGCUAACUACGUGCCAGCAGCCGCGGUAAUACGUAGGGGGCAAGCGUUAUCCGGAUUUACAGGGUGUAAAGGGGGCGUAGACGGGUGUGCAAGUCUGAAGUGAAAGCCCAGGGCUCAACCCUGGGACUGCUUUGGAAACUGUGGAGCUUGAGUGCUGGAGAGGUAGGUGGAAUUCCUAGUGUAGCGGUGAAAUGCGUAGAUAUUAGGAGGAACACCAGUGGCGAAGGCGGCUUGCUGGACAGUAACUGACGUUGAGGCGCGAAAGCGUGGGGAGCAAACAGGAUUAGAUACCCUGGUAGUC